AGCUUGUUUCCAUACUAAGAGAAUGACUUUGAAUAUCCAAAUGAAUUGACAAACAAGCUAACAUAUUAUCAAACAAAAGUUCUUUGAGUUCUAGGCUUGUGUCUUCCUCUUCUGUCAUCUUGUCUUCCUUCCCUUGUUCAUGUCAUGGUUCCUUGAUAAACAAAUCUUCCUUAGGUAACAAAACAAAAAUAGACCAGUUAGUAUUUUCUUUUAAUGACAAAUCAGGAUGUUCUCUUAUUUUUCUUUUUUCUCUUCUCUCUCUUUCUUUUCUUUCUCGUCUCUGGCUUUUUUUUCUUUCUCUGCUUUUUCUCCAUUUUCUCUUUACUCACACUCUCUUCUUUUUUUUCUCUCUUUUCUCUUUCUUCAUACUCUCUCUUUUCUUUUUCUUCUUUUUCUCUCUCUUCUCUUUCUUCCAUUUCUAUAAGUUCUUUUCUUUCUUGUGCUCUUUUAAGUUUUUGCUCUUGUCUCUUUUUCAAUGCAUCCAAUUUUUGCACAACUCUUUCUUCUUCCUCUUUCAAAUCUAAAAUAUAGUUUUUGAGGUCUUCAUUACUCAUGGGACUUGCAUUCCAAUUAGGACAUUGAUGAGUUUCAUGCACAUAGCCUUCACAUUUGGAACAUCUUAUAACACUUGAUCUAACCCUUGGGAAAUCAUUUUUGUCAUGUUUGUACUUCCUUUUAAUACUAAAAAUUUCAGCAUUCAACUUUAUAAUUCUAGACACCAAGGCAUUGACAUUCCUCACCAAGACCUCAUAAGCACACAACUUCUAGAAGGAUGUCUCACUCAUCUAAGUGUUUCAUUCAAACUUCACUCAUGUAUCACACUUAUAGGC
rnacentral:lncRNA from 1 species